rnacentral:misc_RNA from 1 species
UCCGAGUUGACCCCGGCAGACUCCGAUGAGUCCCCGCCAUCACGCGCUGGCAACAUCGAACGAGGGUUGCGCUCGUUGCGGGACUUAACCCAACAUCUCACGACACGAGCUGACGACAGCCAUGCACCACCUGUGAUCCUGCCCACAAGGGGAAACCGUGUUUCCACGGCGGUCAGGAACAUGUCAAACCCAGGUAAGGUUCUUCGCGUCGCGUCGAAUUAAACCACAUGCUCCGCUGCUUGUGCGGGUCCCCGUCAAUUCCUUUGAGUUUUAGCCUUGCGGCCGUACUCCCCAGGCGGGGCGCUUAAUGCGUUAGCUGCGGCACGGAGGGAGUGGAAUACCCCCCACACCUAGCGCCCAACGUUUACGGCGUGGACUAC